rnacentral:rRNA from 1 species
CGGGCGGACGGGUGAGUAACGCGUGGGUAACCGGCCUCAUACAGGGGGGUAACAGUUAGAAAUGGCUGCUAAUACCGCAUAAGACCACAGUACUGCAUGGUACGGUGGUAAAAACUCCGGUGGUAUGAGAUGGACCCGCGUCUGAUUAGGUAGUUGGUGAGGUAACGGCCCACCAAGCCGACGAUCAGUAGCCGACCUGAGAGGGUGACCGGCCACAUUGGGACUGAGACACGGCCCAG